CGCUGGCGGCGUGCCUAACACAUGCAAGUCGAGCGGGGACAUGCGACGGAGUCAAAGUUUCGGAUGGAGACGAAGAUGUAUGUUCUAGCGGCGGACGGGUGAGUAACGCGUGAGCAACCUGUCCUUCACAGGGGGAUAACACAGCGAAAGUUGUACUAAUACCGCAUAAGACCACAGCAGGACAUCCUGCAGGGGUCAAAGGAGCAAUCCGGUGAAGGGUGGGCUCGCGUCCGAUUAGAUAGUUGGUGAGGUAACGGCCCACCAAGUCGACGAUCGGUAGCCGACCUGAGAGGGUGAUCGGCCACAUUGGGACUGAGACACGGCCCAAACUCCUACGGGAGGCAGCAGUGGGGAAUAUUGGGCAAUGGGGGGAAACCCCCUGACCCAGCAACGCCGCGUGAGGGAAGAAGGUUUUCGGAUCGUAAACCUCUGUCCUUGGUGAAGAGGAAGAGACGGUAGCCAAGGAGGAAGCCCCGGCUAACUACGUGCCAGCCGCUGC
rnacentral:rRNA from 1 species